AUGGGUGAGGCGCUCGGGAUCCUCCUGUAUAUACUAAUGGUAGGUUUUUUGUUGUUGUGGUGGUAUUCGGCCUUGUGCUGGUCUGGCGUGAUGCCGAUGGAGUGUUGGCCGCCGUCGCUCGCGCGCAGCGUUCGGUGGCUGUCGACCUCGUCUUCUGCUUCGUCUCCUUGGUGGAGGCAAAAGGGAGGCGGCGGAUCCGACGCUAGCUCCCCCAAUAAGCGCGUGGCUGCCUCAGUUCGAGCCGCUCUGGUGUUCUCCCGUCUUGCUUCUAGCCGUCAUGGUGGCGGCAAGGGAAGAGGUGGGAUGGCGCGGCGGGGCUCGAGUCUCUGGUGGGUGUUCUCGCUGGAUCUGAGCUUCCAGCGAGAUUGUCCGGCCCUGAUCUGCUGGAGGGCCUCCAGCGUGCCGCCUGCUGCUGCUUCCAUCGCGGUGAUGGAGCGCUGGAGGUGGUCACAAGGGAAGCUGGAUGUCGCUGAUGGAGUUCGUGAGCUCACUCGGCGGUGGAUUUGGAGAAACUGUGGCGCCCUUGCUGGUCGCUGCCCGGUUGAUUCCGACAAGCCGCCGUAUCCUCAGGUCGAAGGGCGACCAUUUGCAUUCCUCCCGGCCAUGGAGCCAAAGGGGAGGCAGGACUGCUUCACGGUGGAGUCCAUGGCAUGGAGUCAUGGAGGUCUCGCUGGCCCAAGUGGUGCCGUCCCCGGCGCCGGCGAGGCGGGUUCCAGCGGGGAGCAGAAUCGGACUCGAUCGCAAUCUUCUUCCUUUGUUCGAGGUCUUUUUUGCAAUUUGCAGGGUCUUGUUUGUAAUUGUCCGUGUCUUUGGGGUCCUGUUGCUAAAUGUACCCCAUGCUUAUCUAAUGAAUAA
rnacentral:rRNA from 1 species